rnacentral:rRNA from 1 species
UACGUAGGGGGCAAGCGUUGUCCGGAUUUAUUGGGCGUAAAGAGCGUGUAGGCGGCCAAACAGGUCCACUGUGAAAACUCGAGGCUCAACCUCGAGAGGUCGGUGGAAACCGUCUGGCUAGAGUCCGGAAGAGGAGAGUGGAAUUCCCGGUGUAGCGGUGGAAAUGCGCAGAUAUCGGGAAGAACACCCGUGGCGAAGGCGGCUCUCUGGGACGGUACUGACGCUGAGACGCGAAAGCGUGGGGAGCGAACAGG